rnacentral:rRNA from 1 species
AUUGAACGCUGGCGGCGUGCUUAACACAUGCAAGUCGAACGAAGUGGCGAACGGGUGAGUAACGCGUAAUCAACUUGCCCUUCAGAGGGGGACAACAGUUGGAAACGACUGCUAAUCCCGCAUACUGAAGGAGGGGAUUGCGUCUGAGUAGCUAGUUGGAGGGGUAACGGCCCACCAAGGCGAUGAGCAGUAGCCGGUUUGGGAGGAUGGACGGCCAAAUUGGGACUGGGACAAUGCCCAGGCUCCUACGGGAGGCAGCAGUGGGGGAUCUUCCGCAAUGGACGAAAGUCUGACGGAGCAACGCCGCGUGAGUGAUGACGGCCUUCGGGUUGUAAAGCUCUGUUAAUCGGGACGCGGUACCGGAAGAGAAAGCCACGGCUAACUCCGUGCCAGCAGCCGCGGUAAUUC